rnacentral:sRNA from 1 species
AUGACGACACUUUCGCAAAAAAACGCUCAGACCCUACAUCGUCGAUCCGUUGGCUAGGUCUCAGGUUUCCCUCAAUCAAUGACGGUGAUGAGUUUGUCCAUGCAACGACGCCAGACCUACUCUAAACCUACUUUCAGCCCUCCCGCAAACAAUGUCAUGCAUUGUCAGCCUUUGGAUUGUGACAGGUGUGGCGGUGCAGAGACAGAUUUGUCCGAGCGUCUACCUUCCUACAGACAGACGGCUA